AUUGAACGCUGGCGGCAGGCUUAACACAUGCAAGUCGAGCGGAGAUGAGGUGCUUGCACCUUAUCUUAGCGGCGGACGGGUGAGUAAUGCUUAGGAAUCUGCCUAUUAGUGGGGGACAACAUUCCGAAAGGAAUGCUAAUACCGCAUACGUCCUACGGGAGAAAGCAGGGGAUCUUCGGACCUUGCGCUAAUAGAUGAGCCUAAGUCGGAUUAGCUAGUUGGUGGGGUAAAGGCCUACCAAGGCGACGAUCUGUAGCGGGUCUGAGAGGAUGAUCCGCCACACGGGGACUGAGACACGGCCCAGACUCCUACGGGAGGCAGCAGUGGGGAAUAUUGGACAAUGGGGGGAACCCUGAUCCAGCCAUGCCGCGUGUGUGAAGAAGGCCUUAUGGUUGUAAAGCACUUUAAGUGAGGAGGAGGCUACUGAGACUAAUACUCUUGGAUAGUGGACGUUACUCGCAGAAUAAGCACCGGCUAACUCUGUGCCAGCAGCCGCAGUAAAAC
rnacentral:rRNA from 1 species